rnacentral:rRNA from 1 species
CCUACGGGAGGCAGCAGUGGGGAAUAUUGGACAAUGGGCGAAAGCCUGAUCCAGCAAUGCCGCGUGAGUGAUGAAGGCCUUCGGGUCGUAAAGCUCUUUUACCAGGGAUGAUAAUGACAGUACCUGGAGAAUAAGCUCCGGCUAACUCCGUGCCAGCAGCCGCGGUAAUACGGAGGGAGCUAGCGUUGUUCGGAAUUACUGGGCGUAAAGAGUACGUAGGCGGUUAUUCAAGUCAGAGGUGAAAGCCCGGGGCUCAACCCCGGAACUGCCUCUGAAACUAGAUAGCUAGAGUCUUGGAGAGGUUAGUGGAAUUCCGAGUGUAGAGGUGAAAUUCGUAGAUAUUCGGAAGAACACCAGUGGCGAAGGCGACUAACUGGACAAGUACUGACGCUGAGGUACGAAAGCGUGGGGAGCAAACAGGAUUAGAUACCCUGGUAGUCCACGCCGUAAACGAUGAUAACUAGUUGUUCGGUCACUUGGUGACUGAGUGACGCAGCUAACGCAUUAAGUUAUCCGCCUGGGGAGUACGGUCGCAAGAUUAAAACUCAAAGGAAUUGACGG